UUUGCAAUACUAAUGAAAUGGCACACUUUACACUACUACAAUUCUUGGAAAUGCUACACAUUAUUAUACCUUGGGAGAGGUUAAUGAGAUGUUUUCUAAAUGUAAAUGUCUCUGAAAUUAAUGUUUGAACAGUCUACUUUAGAAGUUUCUGUUAAUUCUGAAGUAAUUCAAUUAAGGGACAAUUUGUUUUUCUGAAACAGCCAGAAAGUCCUGCUAAAGAACAGCAUAUAGCUAUUUUAGUAACAGUCCUUAAUGUGAACAAUAUUUUAUUAGAAAAUAAAAUUAUUUCCAUCCACUGUGUCAUAACUUUUAAUUUAUGUCUAUAGUAUUUCCAGAUCUCUAAGCUUCNCAGUUUCUUUCUUCCCUCUAAGUAGAACUGUAGAAUUUCUUUUCUUUACCUAAUCAUCUAUAUGGUUGCAAGCUUGAAUUCUACUUCAUGGUCUCUCAUUCACUUCAGUGGGACUAGAUAAACCAAAUUAAUCUUAUUCUGCACAUUCCAUUUGGUUAAACUUUUCUACCUGGCAUUUUCAGUUUUCUUCCUUUGUCUGCAGAAAUACAAUUGCACUGUCACCAAGUAAAGGGAAGAAAUUUGAAAUUAGGGUAUUCACUGUAAAAUAAAACCUUCAUCUAUUACAGAACUUUAGAAAAAGCUGCCCUUCUAAUCAGUUGAAAGAUACAUUAAAAAAAACACCUCAGUAAUGAUGCAUCUUUUAAAUUACAGGCUCUUUUUUUACAGAUCUUAUCUAUUGUUACAAAAAUAACAUGAGGCCUGUAUCUUAAUAAAUGACAAUAAAUAAUGUAUGUUGUGAAAUAUUUCAACAAAUGGUACUUGGAUAAUAUUGAAUUUUUCACUGGACUGACAUGGGAAGGUAUUCGUUUUCUAANGCAUCAAUCAAGGUCAACCCAACAAAAUCUUGCUGCCUAGGACAUAAUCCAGUGUAUUGCCUGCACUGACUGGCAAUCCUCUCUCCAUGUGGAAGUUCUGGCAACUUACUGGU
rnacentral:lncRNA from 1 species